CCUACGGGUGGCAGCAGUGGGGAAUAUUGCUCAAUGGGCGCAAGCCUGACGCAGCGACGUCGCGUGAGGGAUGACGGUCCUCGGAUCGUAAACCUCCGUUAGCAUGGAAGUACGGUCACUUUUGUAAUCAGCAUUGCAUUGACGUUAUCUGCAAAGGAAGCACCGGCUAACUCCGUCCCAGCAGCCGCGGUAAAAAGGAGGGUGGGAGCGUUAAUCGGAGUUAGUGGGCGUAAAGGUAUCGUAGGCGGUAUGUUAAGUCAAGGGUGAAAUCCCCGCGCUCAACGUGUAAACUGCCUUUGAUACUGGCAAACUGGAGGGUGUUAGAGGAUAGUGGAAUGCCAGGUGUAGGAGUGAAAUCCGUAGAUAUCUGGAGGAACAUCAGUUGCGAAGGCGACUAGCUGGCACAUAACUGACGCUGAGGAGCGAAAGCGUGGGUAGCAAACAGGAUUAGAUACCCUUGUAGUC
rnacentral:rRNA from 1 species